UUGAAAGCCACUGUACCCAUUUUUCUAGAUGAAAAUAUCUUCCCUUGAAUGGCCCAAGUGAAGGUAAAUGACUUCUAGUCUGCCCUCUCUGAAACCCAUGCCCCACUGCUCAUCAAAGAAGACUGAGGUCCUCAAAGAUGAGAAUGGCUGCCUAUUAAAGACCCUUCCAAUAGACUGCAGAAUCCAAAAAAGUAAAACUCAGAGAAGCAGGAGUUGUUGGGAUGGAUAGAAAGAUGAGGAAAAUGAAGACAUAUUGAUGCAAAGCACAGUGGAUGGACUAGACAGACAGGUGGAGUCAGGAUUCCACAAGCCCACUGUCCUUCUCUUCUGGUACCCAGGAAUCUGACCAAAACAGCCCUUCUGGUUUUCCUGGGACUAAGCACAUUUGUGGAACACCAGGCAAUCAGAGCUAAAGUUGAGAAAGCCCAGGGCAAACUCAGAUGAGCUGGCUCCCCCUACAAAAUGCUUUCUGCUGAAGGUCGUUAAGAGCUUAUGUGAAGAAAAAUGAGGCAGGACAUCAUGAUGAGAGUGUGUGACAGACCAAGCUGCCCUCCUCAUGGCAACAUGUAACAGAGAGAGAAGAAGAGGAAGGUCUGGGAAUGUCACAUUCCCCUCAGAGGUGCUCCUCCAGUGACUUAACUUUCUCCCAUCAGACUUUUCUUAGUCACUUCCCUGUUGAUAGACACAACAUCCAACACAGACAACUUAAAGGAGAACAGAAUGCACAUUUAUCUGGAAUAAAGUCUCUGCAUAUGUAGCUAAUUAAAGGUCUCAAGAUGAAAUCUUCCUGAAUUUGGGGUGGCCUCAUCAAAGAAAGAGAGGGAGUUAUGGACAUCAAGGAGAUUGUGUAAAGAUGGAGGCAAAUAUUAAGGUUUUGCUGUCUCAG
rnacentral:lncRNA from 1 species